AUACAUAUGGCUAGGGAUUAAGUUGGGUGAUCAAGAAGGCCCAUUGCCUAGGUUGGUGACCUCCAUUGCACUUGGGAAGGGUGUCCGCCUAACAUCUCCCCAAGUGGGAGAGUGUACGUCAUAAUUUGUGGCAGCGGGGGUACUCGUUCGCGCGGCCCCUAU